ACCCCUACGGGGGGCAGCAGUGAGGAAUAUUGGUCAAUGGACGCAAGUCUGAACCAGCCAUGCCGCGUGCAGGAUGACGGCCCUAUGGGUUGUAAACUGCUUUUAUACGGGAAUAAACCCCUUUACGUGUAGAGGGCUGAAGGUACCGUAAGAAUAAGGAUCGGCUAACUCCGUGCCAGCAGCCGCGGUAA
rnacentral:rRNA from 1 species